rnacentral:pre_miRNA from 1 species
GAAGUACUCCCUCCGUCCCAAAAUAAGUGUCUCAACUUUGUAAAAUUGAGACACUUAUUUUGGGACGGAGGGAGUAAAAG